GACGGACGCUGGCGGCGUGCUUAACACAUGCAAGUCGAACGGAAAGGCCCCAGCUUGCUGGGGUACUCGAGUGGCGAACGGGUGAGUAACACGUGGGUGAUCUGCCCUGCACUCUGGGAUAAGCCUGGGAAACUGGGUCUAAUACCGGAUAGGACCGUGCUUUAGUGUGUGCGGUGGAAAGUUUUUCGGUGCAGGAUGAGCCCGCGGCCUAUCAGCUUGUUGGUGGGGUAAUGGCCUACCAAGGCGGCGACGGGUAGCCGGCCUGAGAGGGUGUACGGCCACAUUGGGACUGAGACACGGCCCAGACUCCUACGGGAGGCAGAAGUGGGGAAGAGUGCACAAUGGGCGCAAGCCUGAUGCAGCGACGCCGCGUGGGGGAUGACGGCCUUCGGGUUGUAAACCCCUUUCGGCAGGGACGAAGCUUUUGUGACGGUACCUGCAGAAGAAGCACCGGCUAACUACGUG
rnacentral:rRNA from 1 species